CGAGGAUUCCCCUAGUAACGGCGAGUGAACGGGGAAGAGCCCAGCGCUGAAUCCAUCGUCCACUGGUCGCUUGGAGUUGUAGCGUAUAGGUGCGGCUGUCCGCUUGUUUCGCGCACCCCAAAGUCCCCUUGAGUGGGGCUACAGUCCAAAGAAGGUGCUAGACCUGUACGGGUGGCGAGACGGUCGGUUGGUCGCUCCUUGGAGUCGGGUUGCCUGGGAUCGCAGCCCAAAGUAGGUGGUAGACCUCAUCUAAGGCUAAAUAUGGCCACGAAACCGAUAGCAAACAAGUACCGUGAGGGAAAGUUGCAAAGAACUUUGAAGAGAGAGUUCAAGAGGGCGUGAAACCGCUAAGAUGGAAACGGAUAGAGUUGACGGAGCUCUACCGCAUUCGUCCGAUCCAGCGGCCCGAUGGUUUUGACUUCCUCGAUGAGGGUGAGACUAUCGAUAGUUGUUGGGUAUUGGAUUGGUGUAUUUGCGGUUGGUAUGCGCUGAGGGCUUUGUGAGCGCAUCUCGACGGGCGUCAGUGGACCAUACCUUCCCGGUGUGGAACCCUUCAUGCUCUUAGGCAUGUCGCUUGUAAAGUUGCAUAAAUGCCGUCUCCGCUAUGGUGCAUCAGCUUUGAUGAGUUGCUUUGGCUUCAAGCUAGUCGCAUGCGACUGCUAGUCGUCAUUUGUAGCUUGUUGAAGUGUAGAUGCGCCGAGACGUGCACCUCGGUGUGAACGUCGACCACCUAUCCGA
rnacentral:rRNA from 1 species